AUGACCCCACUCGCACCCUUGGGCCGUCCAGCCGUCGGGGGUGGGGGGUUCCUGGGCAGGAGGCGUCUCCCCGGAGUCGCUGCCCAGAACUCGGGAGUAGGGGGAGAGGGGACGCCGGCGGGGCCCCGGGGUGACGUCGAGGGGGCAGCCCCACUGCCGCUGGUGGCGAGGCGAGGCGGCUGCGCUCCCGGCGACUCUCCCCGUGGCACACUGUCGCCGCGCCCCCUGGCGGACGACGCUGGUCCCCGACGGGCUCCGGACGCGAGGAGGAGUGAGGCGGGCGCGCGUGGGAGGGCGUCCCAAGGGGAGGGGUCGGCGGCCAGUGCAGGCCCGGAGGCGGGAGCCACCGGGCAGGGGGCGGGGGUGAGCCCCGACGGCCAGCCCGUCAGCUCUCGCCUCAGACGGGCGGGAGCCACGGCCCCGCUCGCUGCCCAUUGUCUGCGCCCCCGACCGGUGCGCCCUGGUGCCACAGUGCGGCCCGGCGGGGCGGCCUCCCCGCGUCACUUCAGCCAGCGCCGCAACUAUAAGAGGCGGUGCCGCCCGCCGUGGCUGCCUCAGCCCACCAGCUGGGACCGCGAGCCAUGCUGCCCGCCGCCCGCCCCCGGGGCUGGUAGAGCCAGACUGCGAACUCUCGCCGCCGCCGCCGCCGCGUCCCGUCCCACCGUCGCGGGCGGCAGCCAAGGCCGCCCCACUCCAGCGCAGAGCGGGCGAGGCCGGGCAGGCCAUGGGGCACUGGGCGCUGCUGCCCGGCGGGGUUUCUGCUGCGCUCUUGCUGGCGCUGGCCGCUCUGCCCGCAGCCCUGGCCGCCAACAGCAGCGGCCGAUGGUGGUAAGUGAGCUGGUGCGGGGUCGCCGCCGGUGCCGGGGCGCAGAGCCAGGGGCCAGCCCCAGCCAGCUCCCACGCUCCGGGAUCCGUCCGCAGACAGGCUCCCUCCACCGCACUGACUUCCCUCCGAGACGCUCUGGGGCGCUCUGGGGCGGAGCUGCUCCCGGGAAAUCUAGUUCCGACGAGGUGGGGUGA
rnacentral:lncRNA from 1 species